rnacentral:rRNA from 1 species
AGAGUUUGAUCAUGGCUCAGGACGAACGCUGGCGGCGUGCCUAAUACAUGCAAGUCGAGCGGAUUUCAUCGGGAGCUUGCUCCCGAUGGGGUUAGCGGCGGACGGGUGAGUAACACGUAGGUAACCUGCCUGCAAGACUGGGAUAACAUUCGGAAACGAAUGCUAAGACCGGAUACACAAGUUUGGGGCAUCUUGAACUU